rnacentral:pre_miRNA from 1 species
UACAUACUCCCUCCGUCCGGAAAUACUUGUCCUAAAAUAGAUGUAUCUAGACUUAUUUUAGUUAUAGAUACAUUCAUUUUGUACAUUUCUAGGACAAGUAUUCCCGGACGGAGGGAGUACAUU